rnacentral:rRNA from 1 species
CAGCAGCCACGGUAAUACGUAGGUGGCAAGCGUUGUCCGGAAUUAUUGGGCGUAAAGGGCUCGCAGGCGGUUUCUUAAGUCUGAUGUGAGAGCCCCCGGCUCAACCGGGGAGGGUCAUUGGAAACUGGGAAACUUGAGUGCAGAAGAGGAGAGUGGAAUUCCACGUGUAGCGGUGAAAUGCGUAGAGAUGUGGAGGAACACCAGUGGCGAAGGCGACUCUCUGGUCUGUAACUGACGCUGAGGAGCGAAAGCGUGGGGAGCGAACAGGAUUAGAUACCCGCGUAGUCCCUGUCUCUUAUAC